rnacentral:rRNA from 1 species
UACGUAGGGGGCAAGCGUUGUCCGGAUUUAUUGGGCGUAAAGAGCGUGUAGGCGGCCUAACAGGUCCACUGUGAAAACUCGAGGCUCAACCUCGAGAGGUCGGUGGAAACCGUCUGGCUAGAGUCCGGAAGAGGAGAGUGGAAUUCCCGGUGUAGCGGUGAAAUGCGCAGAUAUCGGGAAGAACACCCGUGGCGAAGGCGGCUCUCUGGGACGGUACUGACGCUGAGACGCGAAAGCGUGGGGAGCGAACAGG